GGUUUUGUAGUCUAGUUAAGGACAUUAGAUUGCAAGUCUAAAGGUGUAAUUUUACUAAAGCUU
rnacentral:tRNA from 1 species